GACGAACGCUGGCGGCGUGCCUAAUACAUGCAAGUCGAGCGAAGUUUUUCCGGUGCUUGCACCGGAAAAACUUAGCGGCGAACGGGUGAGUAACACGUAAAGAACCUGCCUCAUAGACUGGGACAACUAUUGGAAACGAUAGCUAAUACCGGAUAAUAGCAUUAACUGCAUGGUUGAUGUUUAAAAGUUGGUUUUGCUAACACUAUGAGAUGGCUUUGCGGUGCAUUAGCUAGUUGGUGGGGUAAAGGCCUACCAAGGCGACGAUGCAUAGCCGACCUGAGGGGGUGAUCGGCCACACUGGGACUGAGACACGGCCCAGACUCCUACGGGAGGCAGCAGUAGGGAAUCUUCCGCAAUGGGCGAAAGCCUGACGGAGCAACGCCGCGUGAGUGAAGAAGGAUUUCGGUUCGUAAAGCUCUGUUGUUAGGGAAGAAUGAUUGUGUAGUAACUAUACACAGUAGAGACGGUACCUAACCAGAAAGCCACGGCUAACUACGUG
rnacentral:rRNA from 1 species